rnacentral:rRNA from 1 species
CCUACGGGAGGCAGCAGUGGGGAAUAUUGCACAAUGGGGGAAACCCUGAUGCAGCGACGCCGCGUGAGUGAAGAAGUAAUUCGUUACGUAAAGCUCUAUCUGCAGGGAAGAAAAAGACGUUACCUGAGUAAUAAGCCCCGGCUAAUUACGUGCCAGCAGCCGCGGUAAUACGUAGGGGGUAAGCGUUAUCCGGAUUUACUGGGUGUAAAGGGAGCGUAGUCGGUUAGCCAAGUCUGUGGUGAAAUGACGCAGUUUAACUGCGGAGCUGCGUGGGAGACUGGGGAACUAGAGUGCAGAAGUGGUAAGCGGAAUUCCUAGUGUAGCGGUGAAAUGCGCAGAUAUAAGGAGGAACACCGGUGGCGAAGGCGGCUUACUGGACCGUAACUGACGUUGAGGCGCGAAAGCGUGGGGAGCGAACAGGAUUAGAUACCCGUGUAGUC